AACGCUAGCUACAGGCUUAACACAUGCAAGUCGAGGGGUCUCGAAGGAGCUUGCUCCCUAGAGACGACCGGCGCACGGGUGAGUAACGCGUAUCCAACCUGCCCUUCAUAUUGGGAUAGCCUCUCGAAAGGGAGAUUAAUACCGAAUAACAUAGUUAGGUUGCCUGACAUGACUAUGAAAGCUCCGGCGAUGAAGGAUGGGGAUGCGUUCCAUUAGGUAGUAGGCGGGGUAACGGCCCACCUAGCCGACGAUGGAUAGGGGUUCUGAGAGGAAGGUCCCCCACACUGGAACUGAGACACGGUCCAGACUCCUACGGGAGGCAGCAGUGAGGAAUAUUGGUCAAUGGGCGCAAGCCUGAACCAGCCAAGUAGCGUGAAGGAUGACUGCCCUAUGGGUUGUAAACUUCUUUUAUACGGGAACAACCGCAGGUACGUGUACCUGUCUGCGUGUACCGUAUGAAUAAGCAUCGGCUAACUCCGUGCCAGCAGCCGCGGUAAUACGGAGGAUGCGAGCGUUAUCCGGAUUUAUUGGGUUUAAAGGGAGCGUAGGUGGUCUGUUAAGCCAGCUGUGAAAUACUGUAGCUCAACUACAGCCGUGCAGUUGGAACUGGCAGACUUGAGUGCACAAGAGGAAGGUGGAAUUCAUGGUGUAGCGGUGAAAUGUUUAGAUAUCAUGAAGAACUCCGAUUGCGAAGGCAGCCUUCUGGGGUGCAACUGACACUGAUGCUCGAAAGUGUGGGUAUCGAACAGGAUUAGAUACCCUGGUAGUCCACACAGUAAACUAUGGAUACUCGCUGCCGGCGAUACACGGUCGGUGGCCUAGCGAAAGCGUUAAGUAUCCCACCUGGGGAGUACGCCGGCAACGGUGAAACUCAAAGGAAUUGACGGGGGCCCGCACAAGCGGAGGAACAUGUGGUUUAAUUCGAUGAUACGCGAGGAACCUUACCCAGGCUCGAACGGCAAGCUGAAUGUUACCAGAGAUGGUUUCAGUCUUCGGACAGUUUGUCGAGGUGCUGCAUGGUUGUCGUCAGCUCGUGCCGUGAGGUGUCGGCUUAAGUGC
rnacentral:rRNA from 1 species